UCAGAGGGGGUAAGGAAGGGAGUUUCUAUCCGAUCAAAGGCACUUGUGGGAUAACCAGAGUUUGUUUCUGGCUGAGUUUGCAGGGAGAGAGAGGACCUAAGAACCUUAAACCUGAGAUAAGGGUGAAGUGAAAAGGGGCCAGGUAGGCAGAGGUCCAUGGAAGAAGUAGCAAUGAACUGAAAUCAAGUAGUGCAUAGCUGCAAUCUAUAGUGUCCCCAGGUUGGAACCCACAGAUAAAGUGGCAUAAACUCCAAGAAUUGGAAAAGGCUCAUCUGAAAGCCCAAACAAACGGCUGAAUUUAAAGCCUCCAAAGCAGGGGGUGAAGACUUGAGUUAGGACAAUGGUGCUGUUCAUUUAUUGGACUCUUUAAUACCUUGGAAGAGGUUCAUCUGGACUACGUGACUCAGCUGGAGGGCCAAGCCACUGAAGACCCACCAAGGUUGGCUGGCAGCUUGCAGUGCGAUUUGGGGGAGAAAAGAUUCCAGUACCACACCCAGCUGCUAGGAGGUGCUCAAGAGACAAACCAUGUGAAAGUUCUCCAAAAGAGCUUGGAUUUAUCUCCUCAAGAGUGACUCUGAAGUUUUAUGUGAAGAAUUGGAGCGGGGAAGAUUUUCAAAACAGUGGCACAGAAGGUUGAGUUUGUGACCCCAUCUAAACAACCAACAUUGAGCUUUGGUUUUUGAGAUGGGCAUCACCGUUGCAUUCUGGAAUAUCUUGAGUGAGCUAGGAAGAACCAAGGAAGGAUUUUAAUGAAGAAGGAAAUUUUUCAGAAGUUUAAUUAAAACAUAAUUCUACAAUGAAUAACUCCUCACAGACUAUUUUGAAUAGGCAUUUUGAGUUUAACUUGAUGUUCAUUUUUGCUUUACAAUUAACCUUUAAGGCUAGAAUUUUACAAUACUUAUCCAAGUAUAACAGGAGAAGGUUAAACUAACAUAUCCGAUCCUACUUGUUGAAAAUUAAAACAAUAUAAAACUGCACUAUACAGGCUGUACUGUAAUACCUAGUCAAAUUUCUUUGUGUUAAUCAUCUGUUUUCUUUAAACAUUUCUUGUGCUUAUAUCAGUAAAAUCUCCUGCAAUGGUACAUCUUGUUUGUUUUCUAUUUCCAGUUU